rnacentral:lncRNA from 1 species
GACUAUAAUGUAAGCCAACAUGCUAUCUGUUGGGAUGCAUAGGGGUUUCAUUCAUGCAUUUUAAAAAUUUUACAGUGCAAGAAUAUUAGAUUAAACUAUUUAAUCUAUAAAUACAUGCAUAAUAUCUAAUCUUAAAAUUCUUAUAAAUGGAUUAUGACAUGAAUUUACAUGCAUAAAAAUCUGAAUUUAAAACAACAAACAUGUGAACAAAAAAUCAGCACACUAUGAUAGAUCUAAUCUACCACAGUGAGAGUUCUGAACCCAAUACUUGUGCAUGGAUAGUCAAACUUGAUAAUCGAGAAUGUAGAUCUAGAAGUCCUCUCU